rnacentral:sRNA from 1 species
AGCAGCCGCGGUAAUUCCAGCUCCAAUAGCGUAUAUUAAAGUUGUUGCAGUUAAAAAGCUCGUAGUUGAAUUUCGGGAUCAAUACGUCGGUCGUGCUUUCGGGUACGUACUGGCGUCAUUGGUUUCUCCUUUCUGACGAACCAUGAUGUCAUUAAUUUGGUGUUAUGGGGAGUUAGGACUGUUACUUUGAAAAAAAUUAGAGUGUUUAAAGCAGGCAUUAGCUUGAAUACGUUAGCAUGGAAUAAUGAAAUAGGACGUUCGAUCCUAUUUUGUUGGUUUCUAGGAUCAACGUAAUGAUUAAUAGGGAUAGUUGGGGGCAUUAGUAUUCGAUUGUCAGAGGUGAAAUUCUUGGAUUUAUUGAAGACUAACUACUGCGAAAGCAUUUGCCAAGGAUGUUUUCAUUAAUCAAGAACGAAAGUUAGGGGAUCGAAGACGAUCAGAUACCGUCGUAGUCUUAACCAUAAACUAUGCCGACUAGGGAUCGGAUGAUGUUAAUUUUUUAAUGACUCAUUCGG